GAUUUUGAGUAGCUUCUGCAGUUGCCUUAUUGACCCUGUUUGCUUUCUUAUUUCUGUUACGUGUUCAAUAUCGUGAAUUCCGUGGUUGCCUUUCCCUUCGUGUCUUAUGCAGAUGCAUCUCUUGCUUUAGUCUGGAGUAUCAGGAUUUUGAGUAGCUUCUGCAAUUGUUCUGUUUGGUGAAAUUUUGCAGGAAUUUGGUUUUAAAGGUUUACGUUGCAGUUACUUCUUGGCUUAUAAUUUAAUUUCUUAUUUCUUUGAUGUCUGGAACCAUCUGUUUAUGCAGAUUGCAAAUCUUGUCUCUCUAUGGAAAUCUUGCCUAACUAUAAGAGGGGUCUUUUAUCCGAUCUUUUUUAUUCGUACCGUCUGUAUAAUGUGGGGCACAUUGUCUGAGCUAUAUUUCUGCCUGCAGGCGUAUCCUAACUCGUGUCUAUAUAUGGAGGUCUCACUUUCUCGAACGAGUUUUAAGAAGGGGUUUGAGUAGUUUUUGGCUUAUGAUUUUGUUUCUUAUUUCUUGGUGUUUAUGAGGUAUGGAACCAUUAUUUGAGCACUCUUUUAUGCAGAUGCAUCCUAAUGUUUGUCGGUUGCUGGAGUCUCACACUGUUGAAAGAAAAAAAGGGGUUUUCUGAGUUAUUAUCUGAUUUUAUAUUCUUGGAGCCCGUAUGACAUCCUAAGACAGGUUUUAAGCAAUGUCUUUAUAAGCAGACCAUUACAAUUGUCUUCUUGUGGGGUCUGAUUCCUUGAAGUAGAACGAGCGGCCUUUAAGAAAGGGUUUGAGUGGUUCUCUGCUUAUGAUUUAACUUCUUACACGAGCCAUUAUUUGAGUAAUGUUAUCUUUUAGAGUUUGAUGCAUCUUGUGUAUUGGUGAAGAUUUUAUAAGAUCUGGUACCAUUGUUCGAGCAAUAUUCUAUGCAAAUGCAAUUUAACUCGCCCGUGUAUGGAGUUUUACUUUGUUUAAGGACAGCAGGGAGGCUACCAACAGUGAAUUUCUUCGCCCUGUUAUUUGAUUUCCUGGUCUUAAGAAACCCCCGCCCUAUAUGCAACACAUACUAACUCUUGUCUUGUACAUGCAGUCCAACAUUGUUGACAGAGAAGAGCUUCUUCCCGGGGGGGUUUCUUAUCUUAUUAUCUAUUAUCUAUUUCUGGAUUUAGAGAUCUUGGGCCAUGAUUUGCACCAUUACUUUCCAUUCUAUGGGGUCCAACUUUGUUGAAGGAAAUCGCUUUUAAGAGGGAGUUGAGUAGUAUGGCCUUAUGAUUUAAUUUCUUCUUGGGUUUAUGAGAUUCGACACUUUAAUUGGGCGUUCUUUUGUGCAGAUGCAUCGUAGCUCUGCUCUGUUUCUGGAUCUUUUUUCCUCACAUGUUGGGCUUUGUUGAUUUUUGUGUUGUGCUUUAAUGUCUCAGUUUUAAAGGAGUUAUGAGAUGCAUCCUUGUUCUUGUGUGCGAAAGAGAGUAACUUAAUUCAUGACUGGACUCCUUUCUUAAGGAGGUUACGCUGCGUCAUAUCUUUGUUGUGGAUCUCUUUUUCGAGGAGGGUUUCAGGAGUUCAAUUUCAAGUUAAUGUUAAUGGCGAAACCUCAGGAGCAGGUGUCAUGCCGAGUUUUGUUUUCCGUUAUGUAUUUUAUUCAGUAUCCUGAACCUUUGAACCUUUGGGCUAUUAUUCAGUCAUUGUCUCAUGCAGAUGCUCGUUGUUCCAAGUCUUAUUAGAGUUGAGUUGAUGAGGAUGAUCUUUCGAGUGACAAUCAGAACUUGUGGCACGGUGCCUGGUUUUACAUAUUUGCCUUCUUGUUUUCUUGAUACAUUUCUUUUCGAAUGGUUAUAUGUUAUGGUGUUGUCAGUGUUUUUUGCGGUAGUUCAUGGAUUUUCCUGUGCGGAAGUUUUGUAGCUCAGAGUCUUGGAUCUGCAUUGAUUCCUUGAGAAACACACUCCACAUUUGGUUUCUUAUUCAUUUGUCUUCUUUCAUGGGGUUUAUCCUUCCUGGCUUGAUAGUUCAACAUAUUCUUAUGGUGAUGGGUUCAUUCUUUUCUUUCAACUUAAUUAUAUUCUCUCAAACUUUACUUUUAUUUCUGUUUUUUAAAAGAUAACUUAUUACAGAUUUUGAAUUUCGUGUAGGGGCCUCAAGAUCCUUAAUCUUUUUUGACUCUGCGCCUCUCCCAUUCAUUUCUAUAUUGUGCUGGUCUUUAAUUAAUUCACACAUUUUAAGGUUUGGCAGAUGCUCGUCUUUAUUGGUAUUGCUGUUUUUGUCUGUUCAAAUGUCUGUUUUGUCUGGUUGAAGGUGGAUUCAAUGCAGUAUGUGCAGCUUUGUGCAAUACUUUGGCCAUUCGGGGUUGGAUAUUCUUUGGUGCUUCUCUUUUUUUUUUCUUCUAUUCUUUGCCCUUUUCAGAAGGGCACUUGUUAAGAUAUUUGGUCGUUCAUUUGAUAUUUUAUUGAUGGGUGGAUAUAAUCUGGCACCACCAUUUGAUCUGAUGCAAUGUGUUUGCAGUUGCAUCCAAACUUGUCUUUUACUGGAGUUGCACUUUGUCAGAGCCUAGAACAUCUCUUUUAAGAGGUGGUUUUAUGUUUCUUUGCUUGCGAUUUAGUUCUCUGUAGACCAUAAAUGUGGCAUUUUUGAGCAAAUGUAUUAUGCAAAUUCAUUUCGCAUCAAGUAAAUGGAAUGGGUAUUCAAGCAAACCAACGGAAUCAUGGAUUUGGGCAUGUGCGACGGUCAAGAGGAAUGGGAGUUGCCUUUGUUGAGUGUACGUCUUUCCUUUUGGUCUCAUCUUCAUUAGAAUGUGGACUGCUUUUAGUAGUGUCCACUCUUGGCUUAACUUUCUUCUUGGAUAUUCAGUCUGUAUAUUGUCAGCUUGCUCUUGAGGCCUGGGAGAAUGGGGAUGCUCUUAAGAGGUGUCUGGUACUUCCUGGCUUAUGGUUUAUUUUUGUCAGAUUUUAUCAUAUAUGAUUCAAGCAAAGAGUUCUGUGCAGCAACUUUUGUCUCUUAAUGGAGUCCUAGGGUUUAUAGGAGGAGGGCAGGCUGCUGAUUGUUUUAAGAGGGAGUAGGAAUGUGGUAUGCAGAUUGAUGUCUUUGGAUGCAGUGAAGUAUCAUUGGACUGUAGAGCAGCACUUGCUGACACAUAAACUGAGUAUGACUUUGAUCUUCGUUGAUGGAACUGUUCUUUGAGGGGUCGUGAGAUUUGAUUUUGUCGUUUACAUAGUAUCUUAUUUCCAAUUUGUAUCGAAGUUUUAUUCAUUGAUCUCGUUUUAGCCGAGGUUUUCUCAUGUUCAAGUUAACGGGAUUGAUUUGUCAGCUGAAAUGGAUAGGAUGACUUGCUUUCAUUGUCUUUGGAUUUCAGCGUUUCGAUCUUAAUUAGCUUAGCUUCUAUGCCUUGCUCGAUUUUUCCAGAAUAUGGCCUGAGGGUUUAUCUUUUCCUUUGAUUUGAUUGCUUCUCUCAAAGUCUCCUUUCAUAUAUAUAUAUAUAUAUAUAUAUAUAUAUAUAUAUAUAUAUAUUUUUCUGAGUACAGAUGCUAAUAUUUGCAUAUACCUUUUCGGGUUUUAUAGGGUUGGAGGUGGUGGUUUGUGGUCUGCUAAAGGGUUUGGAUUUUGUCUUAAACAUAGUGACCUGUUGGCAUUUUUGGGUGCAAGUGCUGGUUUGCUUUUGCUGGUUCUUUUGUUGUGGCAUAUUACUCUUUUUUUUUCCUGGCAGGCUAAAGUUGCUUAAGUUCGUGAUGGGUCAGUAUGUUGGAUAUUUGAAAUUUCUGGGCAGAGUAGUCCAUUGUAGAAGAAGCAGUCUCAUUCUUUGAGGGCUCCGUCUCAGAUUCAAGUUUAUGCACAGAACUGAUAGAACUGUUUUUUUAAACUGCUGAUGGAAAUAGAUGUGGUAUGAAGUGUGGUGUUUCCCUUACCUGUCUUCUUAGUUCCGUCAGCUGAUAGUCAAUACUUUUUUGUAUAACUGUUCCUUUAAAUAGCUUUUGUGUUCAUUUGGGUGGCUUGAUAGGAUCUGUCAUUCUUUUCUUCAUUUGGUGGUGCUUAUGCGUAGUCCAACUUAUUGAACAUUGCAAUCUGACACUCUUUCUAUGAUCAAUUUGACACUUUUAAAGCAUUUGAGUAUUAAUUAAGUAGUUAUUUGUUGGUAUCAAAUUACACAUUUGGAACUUUGGUGUGUUUUUCAUAUUUAUGCCCUUAUUAGUUGCUGGGUGUGUCUCUUUUAUUGGUUCAAUAAUGCUGUGGUCAAGCGUCAUUCGACUAUUCCCAGCUGCUUGCCGAUACAGGUCCUUCUUUAAGAACUGAUGUGAGUGUGAGUCUUGCUUUUAUGUAUGCAUAGCUUAUUUCGGAUCCUGCGAAAACCUUCAAUAUAACAAUGAACAAAUAUGCUUUAGCUGGAUUUUAAGCUCGUGAAGUGUGGAAGGGAUGAUAGGGAUGAGGUCCUCUGAGAGAUUGCAUUAAAUGUAAUUCUUAUCUCCAAUUUAUGACUAAGUAAUGAACUUACAAAGAGAACAUAUUAUGUAUUGAAAGAAUGUAGUCCUGGUUUAUCAUUUUGGAAUGAGCCCUUUACGUAGAUUGCUUAUUAUGGGAGGAAGAGAAUUUUUUUCUUGCUUUCGUUAAAGGAGAUUUCUGAACUAUGCGACAUUUCUUUUGAAGUAAUUUUUCUCUUUGGAUAUUCGAAAGUAUAUUUGUUAGACAUUUUGUUAAGUUGUUUAUCAAUUGUAUAAAGUCAACUUCUUGGUAGCUUUUUCUCUUUUAGAUUUGUUUGGCUUUUAGUAUGAUGGUUAUGUGCAUUGCUUUGUUUUUAGCAGCUGUCUGUUGUGUGUAUUUGUGUUUAGUUAGUUAGGUUUAAAGGGAUGUAGCUCAAAAUGGUAGAGCUCUCAGCUUGUAACCAAUGUGAACAAGUUACAAGACUUACGAGAAGAUCAAGGUUCGAAUCCUUGCUUCCCUGCACAUUAACAUAUUUGAUAGUUGCUGUUGAUGUGCGGAUGCUGUUGGUAGCUGACUAAAAUGGUGGUCUGGAUGAUCUGUUAGCUUAAGAACCUGAAUUGGCUGAUUUUCCGGUUUACCACAAGAUGUGGUUUAUUAUGUAAAAGCUUCAGGAAGCUCGAGUUUUAAGCCAACCUCUGCUGCUCUAAUUUGUGCUUCUCAUUUAUUCAUUUCAUACACUUUCUAACGUACAUGUUCACAUUUCUAUCAUUUCAAUUUCUGGCAAUCGAAAAUUUCAAUGUUUGGAUUUAUGUA